CAGGCAUUGGGAUAGAUUCCCAAGAUGCCAAACCAUUAAGCAGAACUUUUAGAGAAGCCACUAACAAUCACUUCCAAUUCUUCCUGAAGAAAGAAUCGAUAUGAAAGGCAUAGCUUCCUCAAAUGACCUCAAAUUAUCUUCUGAGUGUUCUGGAGCUCUGUCUCUGAGAAGUUUCCUGUCUUCAGUUCUUGGCCCCACCACUUUCAGUUGCCACUGGGAGUUCUACAAACUUGGGUCUCCAUCACCUCAGUUCCCUGGAACCACCAAUGCUCUACUGGAGUCUCUCUCUGGACCAGGGUCCAUUGGACACCUGUAGGCAGAAAUAUGGAUUUCUACUUGUCUACAGGGGAAGAGAAAGUUUAUUACUAGUUAAUAAACUAGUUCUGUUCUGCCAUGAACAGAAGCACAGUUACCCUAGAUGAAUAUAUACCCAUAUGGAUAAUCAUUGACAAAGAGGCAAUGAAGCAAUUGUGAUGUAUGAGGGCAGUGGGUGCAAUAAGACAGAAUUUAAAAAUGAGUUGGAUUUAUUGCCUGUUGAGGCCUCUGCAUCACCCCGGUUCAUAUAAACAGGAAACAAUUUCAAGUAAAGAAGAAAAGGAAAGAGAAAGAUGGAGCAAACUAAGCACUGUAGGUACAAUGCACAAUGAAAAAUUAGCAUACCACUGAAUUUCCUUCCCCCAAGAUUAUAUGAUUCUGGAUUUCCAAAGAGCUUGAGAUUGCAUGUAGUUAAUGCAAGUCAGGUGCCUCAAAGUCCCAGAUGGGAAGUUCAUAAGUCCAAAGUUAAAUGGCAUAAGGAUGCCCUGUUGCAGACACUACAAAUAAUAUUGCAAUCUGCCUGGGUCACAUCCUCUUGUGACUGGAAACCUCUGUAAAUACUGAUGUGCCGGGGAACUGGAAGUAUCACCUGACACAAGCCAAAAUGCACUUAGCUUGAAAAGAAUUUAAUGAUACAAUAAAUUGUGAAACUGCUAGAAAUUGUACAAUAAUGGUAUGGAAAGUUAACCAAAGCUUCAGUACAAAAUAUUUUCUAAAAUAAUGAAAACUUGUGGUUAAGUAUGACAUUGUAUCUCUCUAUACAUAAUGUUGUAUUUUACCUUUCUAUAUGUAAUGCAUAAUUGAAAAUUUGAACUUAUACACUGUUAGCAUUUCCAAACUUCUGUUUUCUAAUCUGCUGCUACAAAUGGAUACAGCAAGAGCUCAUAGAUGACACAGGUAUUCUAAUAGCACAUUGGUGGCAGAAGUUACACAGAUGUGGCCUUUCCACCCUCUGGGCUUAACUGUGUUUAUGCAUGGUAGCAGUGACAAGCUAUUGCCUUAAGAUUGUGCUUUUAUUGAAUAAGAUUUAAACUGGUUUCUAGAAUCUACUUACAGAGUAUAAGACACAUGGAAAAAAUGCUCAACAUCACUAGCCAUCAGAGAGAUGACAAUUAAAACCACAAUGAGAUAGCACUUCAAACUGGUCAGAAUGGCCAUCAUAAACAAAUCAACAAAC